UCGUGAGUAACCUCAUCCUUGAUCACCUGCCUGCUGCUGAAUUCUUAAGUCAGGAGUCAACAGCUACUUGGAAGGAGCAAGUGGUGCCAAUCAACAAGUAGAAAGUUGGUGGGGACUCCUAAGGAGAGAACCAGUGGAGUUCUGCAUCACAUUGUUCACUGACCUGAAGGACAAUGAAACCAGCAGAACCCAGUGGAUUACUUGAGCUGAACAACUGGGUACUUAGAUUUGAAAAAGGAAAUUUAUUUACAAA